rnacentral:rRNA from 1 species
AUUGAACGCUGGCGGCAGGCUUAACACAUGCAAGUCGAGCGGGGUGAUGGUGCUUGCACUAUCACUUAGCGGCGGACGGGUGAGUAAUGCUUAGGAAUCUGCCUAUUAGUGGGGGACAACAUCUCGAAAGGGAUGCUAAUACCGCAUACGUCCUACGGGAGAAAGCAGGGGAUCUUUAUGACCUUGCGCUAAUAGAUGAGCCUAAGUCGGAUUAGCUAGUUGGUGGGGUAAAGGCCUACCAAGGCGACGAUCUGUAGCGGGUCUGAGAGGAUGAUCCGCCACACUGGGACUGAGACACGGCCCAGACUCCUACGGGAGGCAGCAGUGGGGAAUAUUGGACAAUGGGGGGAACCCUGAUCCAGCCAUGCCGCGUGUGUGAAGAAGGCCUUAUGGUUGUAAAGCACUUUAAGCGAGGAGGAGGCUCUUUUGGUUAAUACCCAGAAUGAGUGGACGUUACUCGCAGAAUAAGCACCGGCUAACUCUGUGCCAGCAGCCGCCGCAG